rnacentral:rRNA from 1 species
GAAUGCUGACAUAAGUAACGAUAAAGCGGGUGAAAAGCCCGCUCGCCGGAAGACCAAGGGUUCCUGUCCAACGUUAAUCGGGGCAGGGUGAGUCGACCCCUAAGGCGAGGCCGAAAGGCGUAGUCGAUGGGAAACGGGUUAAUAUUCCCGUACUUGGUGUUACUGCGAAGGGGGGACGGAGAAGGCUAUGUUGGCCGGGCGACGGUUGUCCCGGUUUAAGCGUGUAGGUGUGUGUUCCAGGUAAAUCCGGUUCACUUUAACACUGAGGCGUGAUGACGAGGCACUACGGUGCUGAAGCAACAAAUGCCCUGCUUCCAGGAAAAGCCUCUAAGCAUCAGGUAACAUCAAAUCGUACCCCAAACCGACACAGGUGGUCAGGUAGAGAAUACCAAGGCGCUUGAGAGAACUCGGGUGAAGGAACUAGGCAAAAUGGUGCCGUAACUUCGGGAGAAGGCACGCUGACAUGUAGGUGAAGUGAUUUACUCAUGGAGCUGAAGUCAGUCGAAGAUACCAGCUGGCUGCAACUGUUUAUUAAAAACACAGCACUGUGCAAACACGAAAGUGGACGUAUACGGUGUGACGCCUGCCCGGUGCCGGAAGGUUAAUUGAUGGGGUCAGCGCAAGCGAAGCUCCUGAUCGAAGCCCCGGUAAACGGCGGCCGUAACUAUAACGGUCCUAAGGUAGCGAAAUUCCUUGUCGGGUAAGUUCCGACCUGCACGAAUGGCGUAAUGAUGGCCAGGCUGUCUCCACCCGAGACUCAGUGAAAUUGAACUCGCUGUGAAGAUGCAGUGUACCCGCGGCAAGACGGAAAGACCCCGUGAACCUUUACUAUAGCUUGACACUGAACAUUGAGCCUUGAUGUGUAGGAUAGGUGGGAGGCUUUGAAGUGUGGACGCCAGUCUGCAUGGAGCCGACCUUGAAAUACCACCCUUUAAUGUUUGAUGUUCUAACGUGGAUCCGUGAUCCGGGUUGCGGACAGUGUCUGGUGGGUAGUUUGACUGGGGCGGUCUCCUCCUAAAGAGUAACGGAGGAGCACGAAGGUUGGCUAAUCCUGGUCGGACAUCAGGAGGUUAGUGCAAUGGCAUAAGCCAGCUUGACUGCGAGCGUGACGGCGCGAGCAGGUGCGAAAGCAGGUCAUAGUGAUCCGGUGGUUCUGAAUGGAAGGGCCAUCGCUCAACGGAUAAAAGGUACUCCGGGGAUAACAGGCUGAUACCGCCCAAGAGUUCAUAUCGACGGCGGUGUUUGGCACCUCGAUGUCGGCUCAUCACAUCCUGGGGCUGAAGUAGGUCCCAAGGGUAUGGCUGUUCGCCAUUUAAAGUGGUACGCGAGCUGGGUUUAGAACGUCGUGAGACAGUUCGGUCCCUAUCUGCCGUGGGCGCUGGAGAACUGAGGGGGGCUGCUCCUAGUACGAGAGGACCGGAGUGGACGCAUCACUGGUGUUCGGGUUGUCAUGCCAAUGGCACUGCCCGGUAGCUAAAUGCGGAAGAGAUAAGUGCUGAAAGCAUCUAAGCACGAAACUUGCCCCGA